AUCUAGCUGACAAGUUCUAAACAGGAUGAAAUGCGCAUCCUGAAU
rnacentral:hammerhead_ribozyme from 1 species